UUUCACUGAGGUUCUCCCAAAUAAUGGAGAAAUUCUCACUGCAUUCAAGAGUGCCUUCCCUGUUGGUGAGGUGGCCAUUCGGCCUCAUCAUGGAAUUACUGUGACAACGGUUAUAAGAGUGAUAACGGUCACAAGAAGGAGAAAUUUGGGGGCGAUUCCGUUGAUUGGAAAAGAGCCGUUUAUCAACGGAUCUAUUGGCUCUAUAAAAGAGCUGGAAAAUAUACAGAGGAAAUCAAUAAGUUGGAGCCCCAAAAAUCUUGCGCUAUCUCCGGUUUUGAUUCUUCUCUUCUGUCUCCAUAGUACAACAUAGCAAUCCACAGAAUCCAUGAAUCCCACUGGUUUAUACAUGAUGAUCUUCAACAUAUGAACAACAGAAACCCACAAAUCCCAACAAGAACAAACAUAAGUUUUAUGUGAUCCUGCCAAAAAUUUCAUGGCGGAACUCUAGUCAAGAUGUCUCUGGAGUUGGAAGUCAAUUCGUAUAACUGUUAAGAAUCUAUUGGAUUAGUUUUAUUCAAUUCAGAUCUCGACUUAGAGACCUUGCCAAACCCUAGUUCAAAUCGGUGAUAACUUUCCUUAAGAACUGUCAUGUUUCGACUGAGUUAGAGCUUUAAUUGUUUAGUCACAUUAGCAGUAAUAAAUGAUGCCGACACUUCUUCAUCAAAGACAAUAGCAACAGUUCUUGGAAAAUCCCUAUUCGAUUUCACCUAGUUCUGCAAGUGGUUAUCGAAGAUCUAUGCCACCUUUCGGCCGUACUGGUUUGCUCAUUUUGUUGUCUCUUACGGUAGUUCUAGGAAUUCUUCAUGUAGCCUUCGCAAAUGAACGGAGCAGAGCAGAGCAAGCGACCACAGGUUAUAUUCAUCAGAGCAGUAGUUGUCAAUUUAGGGAUUGUCAUAUUCCAAUCUCUGCUUUACUAAUUGGGGACGAAGGGCAUUAUAGUAACUUAACAUACCCAUAAAGGUAAAUUGGCCAUUUAGUGAAAAAAUGUCUGAUGACAUCAUCACUUAACUCCUUAAACCUAACGGAAUGAGUUUUUUAGAUAUAAUUUUGAAAAAAUGAGGGGUCUACUAGACAUUAUUUUUAUUUUCACAUGUUACGUCAAGUUAUUUUCAAAUUUAGGGGUGAUACUGGAUAAUUUCCCAUAAUAAAAGGAAAAAACUAUUUUUUUAAUCAUUGGCAUGCGUUUUAGGUAGUGGCCAGAAACAAAUAGAUUCGAAAAGACGUUGCUACCCUUAUCCGGAUGCUUCCAUGUGACUUUUCAUUUUCCUGACAUAAUAGCCAUGGAAGGGAUCAGGGUCUCUCUCUCUCUCUCUCUCUCUCUCUAUAUAUAUAUAUAUAUAUAUAUAUAAAUACACAACUCAUUGAUAAUCGACAUAUGUGAACGGAUCAGGUUCACAUAUAAGAAUGUUUUAAUACACUCCUAAUCUGUGGUUAUAGAAUCUAUUAAAUGAAGAGAGAGAAAAUCGAUUCUAUAUCUACGGAUCAAGAUCGUUCUCAUAUAUUCUUGUACGUAAACUUGACCCGCUCACUCUACAUGUGGCCUAAGAAACCGAGUGAGAAAAGGUUUGAAACCCACUAAACAUAUUAUAGAUAUUAAAUUUUAAAAGAUAAUGUUUAAAAUAAUAACAAAUGAAAGGGUUCGUUAGACUGUGAGAAAUUAUACUAUUAAAAAAUGACAUUUUUUAAAACCAUUGGCACAGUCAAAAAGUCACAAAGUGACAAAACUAUAUAUAUAUAUAUAUUAUUCAAGCUUUUUUUUUUCUUAGGUGUAGAAGAGCUUAUUUAUUGAAGCGAGCAUAGCGUUUGCAAUCUGAUUUACAUAAAUCAGAAAUCCGGAAAGUGAAAGCAGGCCGACUUGCCUAGGAUUGAGCUUCUAUGUGAUGCAACAUAAUGUCCAGUACGUAUUCAACGAUCAGAUACAUUUUGAUAUGGAGUCCAAGACAGUCGCACACAGCCCAAGGCAUUUUUAGGCGUUGGAAGUACGCUCCUAGAGAAGGGGUCGGCCAUGUUUCUGUUCUCCCUUAAAAAAAUGAGUGAAAAAACAUGAUGUGAGGAAGGUUAUCAAAUAUUUGUUAUCUUGUAUGAUAUUAGCAAUAUCAAUAGGGAUUGGAUGUUCUUCCUUGUUCAAGAGGACAGGUAUUAGACAGGGCUACAGUGUACACAUAAUAAUAUUUGUAUUCUGCAACUAUAAUCGCUCAAUAUUUAUGCCCAAACA